AUCAUAGACUAACAGAUCCAAAGAAAAAGAUUAGAAAUACCUAAGAAAGAAGAAUACAGUUUAUAUUUGAAGUCACUGGAAAGCUGUCAAGUCAACCAGGUUUAGUGGGCAAAAUCUCAGACAGAAGGCCAGUUCCAUGAGAACACAACAAGAAGUCACCAUGUGUGAAGCAGACAGAUCCUUUACCAAACACUGUAUCUGCAGUGCCGUGAUCUUGGACUUUCCAGCCUCCAGAAUUAUGGAGUCUUGCUCUGUCACCCAGGCUGGAGUACAGUGGCACCAUUUGGCUCACUGCAACUUCUCCCUCCCGGAUUCAAGCGAUUCUCCUGCCUCAGCCGCCCAAGUAGCUGGAAUUACAAGCGUCCACCACCAAACCUGGCUAAUUUUUGUAUUUUUAGUAGAGAUGGGUUUUUGCCAUGUUGGCCAGGCUGGUCUUGAACUCCUGACCUC